CCAGCAGCCGCGGUAAUACAGAGGGUGCAAGCGUUAAUCGGAAUUACUGGGCGUAAAGCGCGCGUAGGUGGCCAUUUAAGUCAAAUGUGAAAUCCCCGAGCUUAACUUGGGAAUUGCAUUCGAUACUGGAUGGCUAGAGUAUAGGAGAGGAAGGUAGAAUUCCAGGUGUAGCGGUGAAAUGCGUAGAGAUCUGGAGGAAUACCGAUGGCGAAGGCAGCCUUCUGGCCUAAUACUGACACUGAGGUGCGAAAGCAUGGGGAGCAAACAGGAUUAGAUACCCUGGUAGUCCAUGCCGUAAACGAUGUCUACUAGCCGUUGGGUCCUUUGAGGACUUAGUGGCGCAGCUAACGCGAUAAGUAGACCGCCUGGGGAGUACGGUCGCAAGACUAAAACUCAAAUGAAUUGACGGGGGCCCGCACAAGCGGUGGAGCAUGUGGUUUAAUUCGAUGCAACGCGAAGAACCUUACCUGGCCUUGACAUACUAAGAACUUUCUAGAGAUAGAUUGGUGCUUUCGGGAACUUAGAUACAGGUGCUGCAUGGCUGUCGUCAGCUCGUGUCGUGAGAUGUUGGGUUAAGUCCCGCAACGAGCGCAACCCUUUUCCUUACUUGCCAGCAUUUCGGAUGGGAACUUUAAGGAUACUGCCAGUGACAAACUGGAGGAAGGCGGGGACGACGUCAAGUCAUCAUGGCCCUUACGGCCAGGGCUACACACGUGCUACAAUGGUCGGUACAGAGGGUUGCUACACA
rnacentral:rRNA from 1 species